rnacentral:rRNA from 1 species
UACAGAGGUGGCAAGCGUUGUUCGGAAUUACUGGGCGUAAAGGGCGCGUAGGCGGCCAUCUAAGUCAGACGUGAAAUCCCCGGGCUUAACCUGGGAAUGCCAUUUGGGACUGCAAGGCUCGAGUGCGGCAGAGGAGACUGGAAUUCCUGGUGUAGCAGUGAAAUGCGUAGAUAUCAGGAGGAACACCGAUGGCGAAGGCAGGUCUCUGGGCUGACACUGACGCUCAUGCACGAAAGCGUGGGGAGCAAACAGG